GACGAACGCUGGCGGCGUGCUUAACACAUGCAAGUCGAGCGGAAAGGCCCUUCGGGGUACUCGAGCGGCGAACGGGUGAGUAACACGUGAGUAAUCUGCCCCUGGCUUCGGGAUAGCCACCGGAAACGGUGAUUAAUACCGGAUAUGACUACUUCCUGCAUGGGUUGUGGUGGAAAGUUUUUCGGCCAGGGAUGUGCUCGCGGCCUAUCAGCUUGAUGGUGAGGUAAUGGCUCACCAUGGCUUCGACGGGUAGCCGGCCUGAGAGGGUGACCGGCCACACUGGGACUGAGACACGGCCCAGACUCCUACGGGAGGCAGCAGUGGGGAAUAUUGGACAAUGGGCGGAAGCCUGAUCCAGCAACGCCGCGUGAGGGAUGACGGCCUUCGGGUUGUAAACCUCUUUCAGUACCGACGAAGCGCAAGUGACGGUAGGUACAGAAGAAGCACCGGCCAACUACGUGCCAGCAGCCGCAGUAACAC
rnacentral:rRNA from 1 species